CUCAUCGGCUUCGCCGCCGACAUAGGCUACAAAGCCGGCGACGACAUGUCCAAAACGCUCAAGCCUCGCGCAGUCACCGUCUUCGUCAUCGGAUUCUGGAUCCUCGACGUCGCCAACAACAUGCUGCAAGGCCCAUGCAGAGCCCUCCUCGCCGACUUAUGCUCCGGCGACACCAGAAGAAUGCGCUCCGCCAACGCAUUCUACUCCUUCUUCAUGGCCGUCGGUAACAUCCUCGGCUACGCCGCCGGGUCCUACAACAAUCUCUACAAGCUCUUCCCCUUCUCCAAAACCCAUGCAUGCGAUUUAUACUGCGCGAAUCU
rnacentral:lncRNA from 1 species